CGCCGUGUAAAGCCCCUUCGACGAGUCGAGUUGUUUGGGAAUGCAGCUCUAAAUGGGAGGUAAAUUUCUUCUAAAGCUAAAUACUGGCCAGAGACCGAUAGCGCACAAGUAGAGUGAUCGAAAGAUGAAAAGCACUUUGGAAAGAGAGUCAAAUAGCACGUGAAAUUGUUGAAAGGGAAGCGCUUGCAGCCAGACUUGCCUGUAGUUGCUCAUCUGGGCUUUUGCCCGGUGCAUUCUUCUGCAGGCAGGCCAGCAUCAGUUUGGGCGGUUGGAUAAAGGUCUCUGUCAUGUACCUCUCUUCGGGGAGGCCUUAUAGGGGAGACGUCAUGCAACCAGCCUGGACUGAGGUCCGCGCAUUUGCUAGGAUGCUGGCGUAAUGGCUGUAAGCGGCCCGUCUUGAAACACGGACCAAGGAGUCUAACAUCUAUGCGAGUGUUUGGGUGUCAAGCCCGAGCGCGUAAUGAAAGUGAACGGAGGUGGGAACCCUUUGGGUGCACCAUCGACCGAUCCUGAUGUCUUCGGAAGGAUUUGAGUA
rnacentral:rRNA from 1 species